ACAGGGGUCCCAUCCUGGGGCCUGAGUGCUCACCCACACUCCUGCGCUGACCAGCGAUGGCAGGGCAUGGGUGCUGACCUUCUGUCGCUUCCCCCACAGCAUAGCUGAGAAGGGGCUGUCGUUGGGAGGAUCCGACGGAGGGGCAUCCAUCCUGGACCUGCACUCAGGGGCCCUGUCAGUCAGGAAGCACUUUGUGAACCUGUACAGAUACUUCGGGGAUAAAGUACAGACCGUCUUCUCGGAAGAGGACUUUCAGUUGUACCGG